ACGCUGGCGGCGUGCCUAAUACAUGCAAGUCGAGCGGACCUCUUCGGAGGUCAGCGGCGGACGGGUGAGUAACACGUGGGCAACCUGCCUGUAAGACUGGGAUAACUCCGGGAAACCGGAGCUAAUACCGGAUAGUAUCUUGAACCGCAUGGUUCAAGUUGGAAAGACGGUUUCGGCUGUCACUUACAGAUGGGCCCGCGGCGCAUUAGCUAGUUGGUGAGGUAAUGGCUCACCAAGGCAACGAUGCGUAGCCGACCUGAGAGGGUGAUCGGCCACACUGGGACUGAGACACGGCCCAGACUCCUACGGGAGGCAGCAGUAGGGAAUCUUCCGCAAUGGACGAAAGUCUGACGGAGCAACGCCGCGUGAGUGAUGAAGGUUUUCGGAUCGUAAAACUCUGUUGUUAGGGAAGAACAAGUGCGAGAGUAACUGCUCGCACCUUGACGGUACCUAACCAGAAAGCCACGGCUAACUACGUGCCAGCAGCCGCGGUAAUACGUAGGUGGCAAGCGUUGUCCGGAAUUAUUGGGCGUAAAGCGCGCGCAGGCGGUUUCUUAAGUCUGAUGUGAAAGCCCCCGGCUCAACCGGGGAGGGUCAUUGGAAACUGGGAAACUUGAGUGCAGAAGAGGAGAGUGGAAUUCCACGUGUAGCGGUGAAAUGCGUAGAGAUGUGGAGGAACACCAGUGGCGAAGGCGACUCUCUGGUCUGUAACUGACGCUGAGGCGCGAAAGCGUGGGGAGCGAACAGGAUUAGAUACCCUGGUAGUCCACGCCGUAAACGAUGAGUGCUAAGUGUUAGAGGGUUUCCGCCCUUUAGUGCUGCAGCUAACGCAUUAAGCACUCCGCC
rnacentral:rRNA from 1 species